rnacentral:rRNA from 1 species
AGAGUUUGAUCCUGGCUCAGGACGAACGCUGGCGGCGUGCUUAACACAUGCAAGUCGAACGUGAUUUUUAUGGAAGAACCUUCGGGGACGGAAAUAAAAUGAAAGUGGCGAACGGGUGAGUAACACGUGAGCAACCUACCUUACACAGGGGGAUAGCCGUUGGAAACGACGAUUAAUACCGCAUGAGACCACAAUACUGCAUGGUAUAGGGGUCAAAGAUUUAUCGGUGUAAGAUGGGCUCGCGUCUGAUUAGCUAGUUGGAAGGGUAAAGGCCUACCAAGGCGACGAUCAGUAGCCGGUCUGAGAGGAUGAACGGCCACAUUGGAACUGAGACACGGUCCAAACUCCUACGGGAGGCAGCAGUGGGGAAUAUUGCACAAUGGGGGAAACCCUGAUGCAGCGACGCCGCGUGAGCGAAGAAGGUUUUCGAAUCGUAAAGCUCUGUCCUAUGAGAAGAUAAUGACGGUAUCAUAGGAGGAAGCCCCGGCUAAAUACGUGCCAGCAGCCGCGGUAAUACGUAUGGGGCGAGCGUUGUCCGGAAUUAUUGGGCGUAAAGGGUACGUAGGCGGCCUUUUAAGUCAGGUGUGAAAGCGUGAGGCUUAACCUCAUUAAGCACUUGAAACUGGAAGGCUUGAGUGAAGGAGAGGAAAGUGGAAUUCCUAGUGUAGCGGUGAAAUGCGUAGAUAUUAGGAGGAAUACCGGUGGCGAAGGCGACUUUCUGGACUUUUACUGACGCUCAGGUACGAAAGCGUGGGGAGCAAACAGGAUUAGAUACCCUGGUAGUCCACGCCGUAAACGAUGAGCACUAGGU